rnacentral:tRNA from 1 species
GCGGUAGUGGCGGAAAGGCAGACGCGCUGGUCUAAGAAGCCAGUGAAGGAAACUUCGUGGAGGUUCGAAUCCUCUCUACCGCA